GGAUGAGUUAUCUGUAAGUGAUGGUUACUUAUACUACUGAAAUAUUUUGUACUGUCUUCAAUAUGCUUCUUAGAAAUGAUUUUUAUAGCCAUGUUGUAUUCCUAUAUUUAUAAUGUAUUCAAUUUCAUGCUUCAAAUCUGUUUAGUAUUAUAUGGAAUGAUCAUACUCCAAAAGAAGUACAUGCUGAAAAAUGAAAAAGACAAUGAUUCUAAGAAACAAGGUGUCUACAAAAUUCUGGUGGACGACAUACAUAUCAAUUAGAUCUUACAUAGGAGUAACGAUUCGAACCCUCACCCAGAGGAUGGAACAACAUAGGCUGGAUGUAGCCAAGGGGAAGUGUUCUACGGUACUAUCAAUGAAGACUUAUGCUAAUAACUUAAAUUGGGACAGUGAGAGAAUCGUAGGGCCUAUCAAUGCAAAGAUAUAGACCUUGACAGCAGAAACGACGUGAAUCAUGAAGAGAUAGAGGAGUGAAUAAAUGCUAAAUGAAAGACUAGCUAUUGAACUACGUCCAGCAUGAAUAUAUGCUAUAGAGACAAUAAACAAACAAAGACAGCAAUAAUAGUUUUAAAUUAAUGAAUUUUAAUAUUGUUAUGCCAUAAGAUUUCAG
rnacentral:lncRNA from 1 species